rnacentral:rRNA from 1 species
GACGAACGCUGGCGGCGUGCUUAACACAUGCAAGUCGAACGGAAAGGCCCUGCUUUUGUGGGGUGCUCGAGUGGCGAACGGGUGAGUAACACGUGAGUAACCUGCCCUUGACUUUGGGAUAACUUCAGGAAACUGGGGCUAAUACCGGAUAGGAGCUCCUGCUGCAUGGUGGGGGUUGGAAAGUUUCGGCGGUUGGGGAUGGACUCGCGGCUUAUCAGCUUGUUGGUGGGGUAGUGGCUUACCAAGGCUUUGACGGGUAGCCGGCCUGAGAGGGUGACCGGCCACAUUGGGACUGAGGUACGGCCCAGACUCCUACGGGAGGCAGCAGUGGGGAAUAUUGCACAAUGGGCGGAAGCCUGAUGCAGCAACGCCGCGUGCGGGAUGACGGCCUUCGGGGUGGAAACCGCUUUCGCCUGUGACGAAGCGUGAGUGACGGUAAUGGGUAAAGAAGCACCGGCUAACUACGUG